CUUGAUACAUAUCUUGAUACCUUGGGCAUCACACAUGAAUUCUCAGCCCCGUACACGCCACAGCAGAAUGGCGUCGUCGAACGCAAGAACAGAACACUCAUUGAGAUGGCCAGAACGAUGCUAGAUGAAUACAAUACCCCAAGAAAAUUCUGGCCUGAAGCCAUUGAUACUGCAUGCCAUACAAUCAAUCGUGUUUAUCUUCACAAGCUUCUGAAUAAGACAUCUUAUGAGCUCCUUACUAGCAAGAAGCCAAAUGUUAGUUACUUCAGAGUAUUUGGCGCAAGGUGCUGGAUCAAGGACCCACAUCAC
rnacentral:rRNA from 1 species